UAUUCGAAUAAGCGAAGAAGAUAGUUUGCGAGAGAAGACAGGUCUUCUCAAAAAACCAAUUAUUGGCAAGCCAUACACGGCCCGCGAAAACAAAGCGCGCCCCUGCGAUUCCGCGGGAAUUCUCCAAGGACACGCCCCCAGCAACAUGUCUGUGAUUGGCUGGGCAUGUCAUGGAUGGCGCCGUUACACAGCGCCCUUGGUGACAGCCAGGCAACGGCAACGGGGGCACAGCCUCUACGCUAAAAAGAACCAAUGAAAUGCAUUGAAAUAAUUCAGGGACGUGCGCAAUACGCGACAGAUUUGGAAGCACAUGUUCAUUCUCAACUAAGCUCUGGGGGAUGCAAGACGUUAAUUUGUAGUUCGCUAUGAAACUGUUCUUGGAUCAUCAUAGUUUAGGCCUCACUUUAGCAGGCUAAUACAAACAAUUCAAGUACUAGUACUGCUCAUCCCAGGUCACAGGGAUGUCGGGAUAAAAUGGAUCCCGGGAAAAUUAAUUCUCAGCGUUUUUAUCAACAUUAUGAAUGGCUAGCCGUCCAGAUCUCGCUGACGACACGCUGGCCGGUGGAGCUGCAGAGUGCAGUGAAGGGAUGGACGGAUACAACGCUGAAUUACCGAACCCCUACAGGGACUAUCUCAGUUAGGCCGGGAUCACCGUUCUCGUUAGAGGUCUAACGUUAGAUCGACCGCUAUUUUGCCACGGUCUAUCGGUGAGACUGCAGAGUUGGAAUAUACAUCAGCUUCCACAGGAAUAAUAAGUACUUUCAGUCAAACGGAAGCUCUGACCAAUGCCGUGAAUGAGGAUAUUUGCCGGAGUUGUUCUCCUAUGAGUACAACUAGGCCGAUUGUCUUUUGAGGCUGUGCCUGUGAUAAAACUGCCGGCGAUGCUUCGAGUUCGAUGGAGCUGGAUCUAAGUAAUUGAUUGUUGAUGCGAAUGGAGUGGAGUUAGGGCCCGGACCACAGUGUAUAUAUCUUGACCCGGUGAGUGUUUGGAUCCAUGUUUGUACUUGUAGUUGCACAUCUUGACCUAGACCUUAAAUGAAUUUGGCCUGAACCGGCCGCUAUAGUAUAGCUAUUACUUAACUUGGGGCCCGGAACUGUAACGUGAUAACUUGUGAUACUAGAUCUAGGCCUAUAUCUAUUGACCAAAUUCAAAGUUCCAACUCAGACUAAAUGUUUUCUGGGCCUGGAUCUAUCCCUAUAACCCCUUUGGCUUUGGUUCUAGGGCCAACUAUGAUAUACGAUAUCGAUCUAAUAGGACCGAACAUUUUUCAAUGUAUUUCUAAUGUGGUUGCGGGAAUGCAGGAUAAAUGGAAACUGAAGGACCUAGGCUAGCUUCGACUCGGCUUGGUUUGCGACUGGAGUUGCUCCAUGAGUUAAGUUGAUUCAAUAUGACUUUAUGAGAGCGUUGGUAAGGGUCGAAUCAGAGGGCUUGGCGUCGCGCCCCACUCGAAAAGGCAGCGUUGAACAGUGGACUGAGUUGAAUUAUCAAAUAUUAGGUCAAAACCUAUCACAAUAUGAUUUUUGUAUUGGAUCUAAUUAAAGGAUCAACAUUCUGUUUCGCCAGCUGAGUCCCGGCUCAUGCUACAAAAUAAACAAAAAAGAAAUAAACGAUGCUCCAUACACCAAGCUGGAUCCCACGAUAAUUUGAGCCCAUUGAUCAGCUGGCAUUUUGUAACCAAAUUCCCCAAAAUGAACAGGAUAGGGUCUAUAAAUGAAACUGGGGUGGCUGCCUUCGGUGUGAACAGGGAUACGAUAAAUAUGAUGAAAUAAACUGCAUUCGCCCCCGGUACUAAAACGAUAUUAUUCAUUGAGAUAGAUGGUAGAGGUAUAGGUCGAUGUACCGUAAUCCGUAUUUUGCUGUCCAUUGGGCGUGUGCAAUAAUAGUUAUUUGCUUGGUCAACUUCAUCCUGUUCUGGACCUACAUGAAUUAACUGACAGCUUAGUUGCUUGAUGAGGUUGGGGAAUGCUAAGAUACGUCAUUUUUUUAUAGACCUCUAUUACCAAAUUUAAGUUCGGAAAUGUAGUCAAUGUAUGCCCAGUGUCCGUACCACUUAUCCCUUCUCGCCGGCCUCGAGUUUAUAAGAUGGCGUAAAGAUAAAACAUAACCACAAUUAAAAUAUACGUCGAUUGUAUCAUUCCGGGUGAGGGGGGGAAGUUGAGGGCGUUUGUGCCCCCCCCCCCCCCGAAAUGCUCAAAAGAGCCCUGGAAAACCCCAUUUAUUGCCAUGUUAACCCUUAUAAAAAUCGCCAAUGGUAUUUGAAUGGUGGCGAAUGGUAGUUGAAUGGUGAUCUGAAUGGUAAAUGGUACGCGAAUGGUAUUUAAGUGGUGUUUCAAUGGUAAGUUCUUAAUGGUAAGUGGUAGUUUAUUUAAUGGUAAAUGGUAUACCAUAUACCCAAUGGUGUCUCAGUGGUAUGUGUCUAAUGGUAUGAUUGGUAUGAUGAAUGGUAUACCAUACCCAAUGGUGUCUCAGUGGUAUACAAUGGUGUCUCAGUAGUAUGUGCCUCUAAUGGUAUGAUUGGUAUGAUGAAUGGUAUACCAUAUACCCAAUGGUGUCUCAGUGGUAUUCAAUGGUGUCUCAGUAGUAUGUGACUCUAAUGGUAUGAGUUGUAUGGUGAAUGGUAUACCAUAUACCAAUUGUGUCUCAGUGGUAUACAAUGGUGUCUCAGUAGUAUGUGCCUCUAAUGGUAUGAUAAAUGGUAUACCAUACCCAAUGGUGUCUCAGUGGUAUACAAUGGUGUCUCAGAAUCUCAGUAGUAUGUGUCUCUAAUGGUAUGAUUUGUAUGGUGAAUGGUAUACCAUAUACCAAUGGUGUCUCAGUGGUAUACAAUGGUGUCUCAGUAGUAUGUGCCUCUAAUGGUAUGAUUGGUAUGACGAAUGGUAUACCAUAUACCAAUGGUGUCUCAGUCGUAUUCAAUGGUGUCUCAGUAGUAUGUGCCUCUAUAAUGAUAUGAUGGUGAAUGGUAUACCAUAUACCCAAUGGUGUCUCAGUGGUAUCCAAUAGUCUCAGUGGUAUAUGUGUAAUGGUAUGAUUUGUAUCAAUGGUAUACCAUAUGCCCAAUAUGGUGUCUCAGUAGUAUGUGCCUAUAUAGUGGUAUAAUUAAUGGAUAGUUGUUGGAUAAUUGUAACGCAAUUGUGGCUUAGUGGUGUGUGCCUAAUGAAUGCUAUUUAUGUUAAUGGUGAAUGGUAUGCCCAAUUGCAUUACCCAAUAACAUAAUUCCGAAGAUUUAAAGAGAAAAAAGAUCAAAGAUUAAAAAUUAGAAUUAUUAAAAUUUUUGAGUUGUGACUUUUAUGCGAGCAGCUUCCCCAAAUCAGGCCCAUUCGCUCAUGAUGGCAAACAUGGCCUGUUGCAUUCUUUUAAAUUGUCUUUGUCUUUAUUAAGUAAAAGGCCUAUAUGUGUUUAAAUAUUAUUGAACCAGUGCUUAAAAUACAAUAUUAUUAAUUUGUUUUAUUUUACAAUUGUACACAUUACCUUCUAAAUUUAUAUCUGAUGCAUUGAGUGCAAAAAUAAAAGGAGUCAAUGAAAUCUUAUUUGAUAAAAAGGGUUUUUAUUGUACCUUAAUAUCAACGGACAAAUUAUUUCACAGCCGCUCCCGAAAGGGAAGAUAUAAUCAUCAUUUACCGUAAAAAUCUUGAAAUUAAAACAUGCAAGUUUUAAAGAGCAUGAACAAGAUGUGUAUCGUACUAAAUAGAAAAUUGUACAUUUCACCAUCCUUUCUUUUCUCUUUUUGUUUCUUGGUAUAAUUUGAACGGCACACCACCUCUCCUAUCUGUACGGUAUACAGUUUUUUUUAUGUAACGCCCCCCCCCCCUUCUUGAAAGUUUUGUUCUAUUUUUAAAUUAAUUUUCUUAUUUAAUUAUGGCCACUUUUUUAUAAAGAGAGCUAUGGGGUGUUGCAAGAAAAUAUUUGCAGUCAAUCCCAAAAUUCGGUUGCAAAUUUACAAGUGAUAGACUAAUUUCAUCUAAAGUAAACCAAUUUAUAGAUUUAUUGAUGGAAGAAACAAUAAAUCCGUUGCAAGUUUGCAAUGAAAAGUAAGACUUUCAAUUGAUUUUGGAGUUUGAAAUUGACUUGCGUUCAACUGCAAGUUUCUUGCAAUGUCCCAUAGGUCAUUAUUUUGCUUAAAAUGAAUUCACUGUUGGUUGUCUUCCUCCCCCAACCCCUAUUGAAAUUCCCAUCGGCAAACCCUGAUUUUGGUCUGCAACGACCAAAGCCCCCUCCCGGCCAAUUUAUAUAUCGCUACUACUGCUUUAAUUUUGAUCAUAAAACGUUUCUUUUUUUUUCUUUACAAAUUGUGUUUUAAUUAUUUUUUCUCACUCAUGGAUGGUGUUUAUAAAGAGGAGAAUAAUUCUAGGCCGGUCAUUACUUGCUUAAUUGAAAUGAUUUGUCUGUUAUUGUCUUGCCCUCCCCCCCCCCCCCAGUAUCAAAAUUCCCUGCCGCCAGGCUGGUACAAUAUGUAACAGAAAAAAUCUAAUGAACGAAAUUCUCAAUUGCAAUCAAAACAAAAGCGAAAUUAAACAAAGGGAGAAUUAAAGGAAAAAAGAAAUAAGUAAAAAAUAUAUAUAUAUCGAAAAACAGAAAAAUAAAUUUAAAAAAAAGAAAAGAAAAAGACUAAGACAAAGAAAAGAAGAAAGACUGAACAGAAAAAAAGAAGGAAAAAGAAAAAAAGACAAUGGAAAGAAAAAAAAGAAAGACAUGGAAUUAUAGAACAGAAAAAAAUUGAGCAAAAUGAUUUUUUUCAUAGAUCCUUUCAAAGGAUAAGCAGUGGCAAAAAUUGACUGCAUGGUUAACUGCCAACCCAGAACCAAUCAAGAAAAAGACACCCCUGAUUUGGUCUUACAUGCAAUUCACUCCUCCCACAUAUCGGGAUGUAUCUUGGCUAAGAAGCCCCCUCCCCCUGAUUUGGUCUUGAUUUACCCCCCCCCCCCCAAUAUCGGGAUGUACGUGUUGGCUGCGCUGCUAGCUAGCUCGCUCUAUGUAUGUAAGACCCCGUAUGUAAGUGUUGUUCUCGCACGCCCGUGCGCACGUACGCAUGUAACCGCCAAUUGCAAUAUUUGAAAAAAGAACCCGAUCAACCACUGUUUUGCUGUUCAGAAGUCCGUCUAUAAUUCAUCAUAAACUAAAGGAACACAGGUCAGAUUCGGACAACGACUUCAAAUUCAUUCGCAGAAUACGCUAAACAGUAAGUUAGAUAACAAUUUUCUUUGAUAUUGUUUUCGUAGUUAGUGGCUCGGCCUGAUUUUCUAGAAUGUUACUGUUAGAUGUCGUUGUACUGCCACGGGGAUUCACUGCCACCGUACCGCCACUGCCCCGUUGGCGCGGGCCGGGGACACGCCUGUCUCUGGCGAAAUGGAUUAUGGGGUGCGUUAAUAUGCUUUGUAUUGGCUGAGGUGAGCUGAGCCGAGCAUUGUCAUUGAGUAGUAAUUCGCUCGUAUGGUCUGAUAUCUAUUGUCAAUGUUUUACAAAACCAUCUCUGAAUACCGGUAUGAAUUUAUGAAUGAAUGACUUGUUAAAUUAAUGCUGUACAGUGCAGUACUGUCAAUGUCAUGACAUUGACUGUCAAAGUGUCAAUUAGGCCAUUGGUUACUGCACAACAUUGACAUUGUUUCACUGAAAUGGAAACCUUGCCGAAAAAUAUUGCUCUGGAAUGAGGCCUAUAAUUUGUUGUUGUUGGUAGAUAAUGUUGGUAAAUUAAGAUGACAUGGACAUGGUAGUAUUCAGGUGAAACAUGGUAAGGUGUCCUAAAUUUUAAAACAUAAAGUAAAGCCUUAAAGGCUACGCAGGCCCUAAAAAGCUACGCACCACUUAUUGCGCAUGCAAUUUCAAUGGUAAAAUGUGCACUUUGUGUGCGGAACUGUGACUGGAGAGAGUGACAAACGAUUCCUAUUCAAUUUUUCUAGAGAGACUGCAAUAAUUAUUCAGAGAAAACCUACAACUGUUUGGAAUUAACAUAUUUUAGAAAUUGAGGCAGAGAAAUAUUCCAUGAUAAAUCAAGAAGUGUUCUGAAAACAUGGCGGGAUUUUGGUAUUAGUGAGUUGUGUGAUAUUUUCUUCUUGGUUAGGCCUAAGGUUUUUUAGAAUAUUUAUGAAUACGAUAUAAUUUGUUCAAAUAUAAAAAUUGGCAUAGUUUUUGACGUUUGUAAACAAAAAUCGUAGUUUACAUGUAUAUGUAUGUAUCCCCCCCCCCCAAAAAGGGCCUAUACUAAUCUGAACUCAGCCAUGCCGGCUGACUAAAAUCACAAUUUCUGAAUUUUUUCCUUGGGAUUUUUCCGUGGGAUUGGGCGCUAAUUUCGCACCGACCAACUUCGAGCAAAAUUCACCACCAAAUGUUGUUCUCAAAUGUCAUAUCAAAUCUGAAUUGCAUUUGAAUGUCCAUAUGCCCACCGCUUUUCCGAAUAUCGGGAACAGCUGUAUAUCGGCUUCGAUCUCUACGUCAUUGUUUGAAUCCUCAUGCGUUGCUUUGCCGUAAUUUUUAUAUGGACUGAAGUUCGUAACCAAAUCAUGCAAACUGCCGCAGGCAAAUCUUUUGGUCGCUAACUUCAGUCCUUAUAAAUAAUGGCAAAGCCAAGCAAAGUGAUGUCUGACUGAGAAUUUGAACGAUAACGUAAUGUUUAAUGUUGGGGCCCGCAAAGAUAACCUGGCUUGAGCCCGGACCGGAAGGUUUAGCAAAAAAAAUUCUGGGUCCUGGAUCGGCUCGGAACUCGGAGCCACCGCUCAACACCGCUGCUGCACUUUUGUACCCUGCGAUGUUAGCGAACUAAUUUAACCUAAAUAUUUGUCCGAAUCAAUUCACUGAGCAUCAGGAACAUCUUUAUUCCGGCUUCCACCAUGAUUUCAUCAUUCGAGUUAUCAGAUUUAGGGUCUCACUCCACCGUAUAUUUAUUUGGAUAUUUGCUGAAGUUAGCGAUUACAACGCGCAAACACGAAGUCAACAGUGUUGCUGCCCUCUGCGUUCGUUUGGCAAAAUCUGACUAAGAAUUUUAACUAAGACGUCGAGAUCAAAGCUAAAAUAAUGCUGUUUCCACUGCUCAAAGUGGCUGAAAUUCAUGUAAAGGAUAAAUUAAGUUAGAUUAUUCGAGAAAAUAGAUGAGCUUGGUUCAUGAAUAGUGGUAAAUGGUCGCAUUAUCUUGGUGUUUAUUUGGUAUUUUUCGGAGACAUAACAGCUUCUGAUCUUCGCUGUUUUGACUCUCAACCCGGACCGGCUUGGCCUGGGGAAAAUCCCCCCAACUCACUGGUCUCUGAAUUCCACCCCGGCAUGGCUCCCACCAUUACGAUAACAUCGGGAAUGGAGCCAAAAUACCGCUGUUCCCGAUCGUGAUGUUUGGAAAAAUGGUGGGCAUACUGUGUAUUGACCUCAAAAUGUGUGUAGACAAUUACUGGUGGAAAAUUUUGCUCGAAGUUGGCUGGUGUGAAACUGCAUUAGUGCGGGAGAAUAAUCUGAGAUCCUUUCAUAGGGCUAGGCAAAUCCAUUUUUAAAGUUAAUUAUAUUUUUUUGAAUUAAGUUUGUCCUGUGAUCACUUUUUAUCUGUGUUUAUUUAUUUACUGAUCAAAAACUUGCCCAAAAUAAUGUCUAGAAUUCACCCACUGGCAUAUGAUUGUCCCGGGACGGAUCCUGGAUUUCUCAAGGGGGGGGGGGGGCACAUUUUUUCAGGAAACUUUAACAAGCACAAAAAAAGAGAUCUUUACUUGUGUAUGAGACAAUUACCGUGUUUACACUUGAUCAGCUUUUGGUUUUGAACCAAAUACCGAUGCAGAAUCGGCUUUUGGUUUAUCUUGCACUGCAUUUACACGCUGUUACAGCUUGCGGUGCAGAAUCGGCUCGCGUGUCAAAAACCUCAAUUGAUACGCUCACCAACAAUAUACGUCAUAAUAAAGACAACGCUGGAUCCGUGCGCUUACAAUUAUGUCACAAUGGUAAAGUAAAUGAAAUGCGCACCAAUUGCCGAUGCAGAAUCGGCUUUCUGUUUACACGUAGUAAAAAAGCCGAUUCUGCAUCGGCUCGCGGUUCUGAACCUACUACUUUGGUGGUGCAAAUUGCUGAUUCUGAACCGCGAGCCGAUGCAAGUUAAUUGUGUUUUACACGCUAUGAAAAAGCCGAUUAAGUGUAAACACGGUAUAUAUUUCCGUUAGAAAUAUUUGCUGUAACUUUCAAAAGGAGGGACACACUUGUGUAAAGACGCCAUAUUUACAUUAAACACAUUGGCCCGAAUUCACAAAGGUGGUUUUGAAAACCCACGGUUGAGUCCAUGGUGUAUGCAGAUUUCCUGUAUAAAUUACGCUUAAUUUAGCACGUAUCUUGCGCGUGUAUAAAAAAUGUCAAAUUCUGAUGCGCGCUUUUGUCGCAGUGCGCCAAAUUGACGCCUGUUACCAUGGUUAGAUACGCUAUUUUAUUCAUGAGUCCACUGUUUGAAGAGUGGACUCAUUAAUUAAAAACAGUGGACUCGUGAUUAAAAUAGCGUGGAUAACCACGGCAACAGGCGUCAAUUUUUGCGCACUGUGACAAAAGCGCGCAUCAGCAUUGGACAUAUUUUGAUAUACGCUGUAAAUAAGCGUAAUUUAUACAGGAAAUCUCCAUAAAACAUGGACUCAACCGGGGUUUUCAAAACCACCUUUUUUAAUUCGGGCCAUUGACUAUUGCUCUCAAGGGGGGGGGGGAGGUAGGGGCACAGGUCAAUUGUGCCCAUCUGGAUCCGCUACUGUGAUUGUCAAUACCAAGAAAAGAAAAUCAUAUUGAAUGUUAUCAAUUAAUUGAUUAGGCCUACCUUUUGAAAACUGCUGCUCUGGAAAUAUGACUUCAGAUCAUUCUUUUUCUAUUAGAUAAUUUUCUCUUGCAUAUCUACAUGAUUGCUGAUCAAAACACGUUCCGCAGCAGAGUAACUGUGUUAUAUUGAUCUAUAUAUUUCCAGCAUGCACACACAGAAAAUCUUUGGUGAGGGAAUUUUAUUUCUGUGACAUCAAUGUCAAACAUAUUUUCAAGUGAAUUUGCUGCAUAUGUUGAAAUAAAAAUGAUCAUGAUGCUGUAUAUGAGUGAAUCAUUGAAUUUUGGAGCUUAAAGAAAGUUUUACUAUAUUAGUAUUAUAUUUUUGUUUUUAUCUGCACAUGCAUAUUUUCCAACACUCAAAUUGAUUUUAUUUCAUUUAGGAUUGGACGACGGAUACACUGGAUGAUAAUGUAGAUGGUCCAGGAUAAUCUGGGAAGGAAACUACAGGUGUUGAACACAGAAAACCGUUUACAAGAAAACAACUGGAGUUUGUGAAAGCUGCAAGAAAUUAAUCUUGCCGGGUACGCAUUCACUUCACCUUGGUCGAGUGCAGCACAGUGGAUAAAUGUGUUGCUGAAGGAAAACACCAUUGCUAGGAUUCAAACCCACGACACUCUGUUGAAAGGUGAGAGUCAGAACCACUAGACCACGACGCACCCACAAUUAACAAGCUGAUGUCAUACCCCCACUUGUUCUUUUGUAUUUUAUAACAAGAAUUCAUGUUUAUUCACAUUUUGACCUCCAAGAACUAAAAAGUGGAGUGAAGAUUUAUUUAAUGUAAACACAUGCAUUGCUUGAAAUCAUUUUAUGCUACGUGGGACAUAUCAUACACACGUGUACGAAAAUAUGAAAUUAUUAUGAUUUCAUUUUAUAACAUAAGCCUAACACAAAUUCCUGACGAUCAUGUGCACAUUCCAGUAAUUUUUCCCAAAAUGUUGCUAAACCUUCAAAUCAAAGACUUUGUUAUCAGAUUUUAACGAAAUUGUCAACAUUAUGCUUUUCUGAUUAAUUCUCUUCCUACCUAAAUCUCCCCUCUUCUCAUGCUUUCUUUCUAUGGUCCCCUUCAUUCUCCUUACAACUAUGUUAUAUGUAAAAUGUAACCGGUCGUCCAACCCAUUUGAUUGAAGGGCUAGGUACUCUAGACUGAAAGUUAUGUGAUUUAAAUUCAAAGAGUACAUCAGACAAAAAAAAAACACUGACAAUUUCAUCAAAAUUGAAUGAGGAUUAACGAAAUUAUGACGAAUUAAAGUUGUUAUUUUUUGGUAAAACUGUUCUCUGCAAGUCCUCAUGAAUAUACAAGAUCCCAAUUUAUAUAUUUUUUUGUAUUAUAUGAAUUCAAAUUUUGUCCAAGCUAGGUUGUAAAAAAUUACGAUUGACUACUGAUUUACUGUGUAAGACAAAAAUUAUAUUAUUUCUCACACAUAGUUGAGUUAUUCAUCUGAUUCAACACAACAAAAAUAGACAAAAAAGAAAUAAGUGGAAUCUUGUAUAUUUGAACUAAGGGAAAUAGUUAAAAAAUAGAUGUGCUACUAAGAAUUAUUUUCUAUAUGAUUUGCAAAAUAUUAGAAAAAGAUGUCGCUAUUUUUCUUGUUUUUUUUUCUAUUUUCAUGAUAUAUUCUUUAUUAUUCUAUAUAUUCUAUUUUUGAUAUAGAUAUUAUUCAUUUCUUUAUGUAUCUUUAAUGUAUUUAUGAUAAACUUUUGGCAUGUUUCUACAGAAAAUCAUUAAAAACGAUUUAUCUUUUCCGGACUCAAAAACCUUAUCGCCCUUAAACCAACCUGCUUCUACAAACUGAAUAAUCUGAUUAACUCGCUUUUCGCGUUGCAAAUACAGCGGAAAUCAGAAAAUUCAACCUAUAACCUCACGUUGCAUUGUACAUAUGUCCAAAAUUGCAUCUUCUUAGGAAAAUUUUCAAAAUUUGUGGUAGAUCUCACUCAAUGUAGCAGGUAUACGUGUAGCACGAUCAGCUGGCGAGAUCGAAAAGGCCAGAAUGUGCAAAUAUAUGUACUGCGAAAUUGCACUUCCGGGAUUAAGCACUUCCGCCAGACACGAUACGCUAUUUUGCCGUUUGUUUUUACAGAAAAGUUAAACGGAUUAACAUGGCAAUAACCACCUCUCAGAGAUGGUUAUGAGAAACCAUAUUUUGCUUGAAGCAGUUUAUCAAUAAACCGCAUCGCGUCUGUUUCUACAAAAUUCUACAGGAAAGUUUUCCGGGAUUCUGGAUACUUACGCGGGUAAUACCUUUUAACGAUUCUAUGUAGAAACAUGCCGUUUGAUAUAUCCUUUAGGUGAAAAGAAAAUAGAGAAAUAUUAGGAGGUUACUAUUUUCCCCCCUUUUGGGGAUAUUUAUUUCCUCUAAGUUUGGUACUCUUUACCUUUAAUCAUUUGGCCAUGUGAAGGCUAUCACACAUUUUGAGUUUAAUCUUCGAAAUUUGGUGUUCAUCAGUUUGUUGUCCAAACUCUGUCUUACAUGUAGAUUUGUUUAUAGGAAGAUUAACAUAAUAUCUAUGUGGAGUGCAAUCAUUGACCUCUUGUAGAGUCGUGCAGUCACAUGUAUUCAUAAUGCUGGUGCUUUUAUGCCAUACAUGUACUUGUCAAUACUGGGUUCCACUCUUUUGUACUUGAACUUAUUAGUAAAAAAAAUAUUUUAUUAAUGUCAUUGAAGUAGCUGUGUGAAAGCAAUUACACACAACAGAUUUAAAAUCAAGGUUAUUGUAUUACAAGUAUCAGGUUUGUUUGCAGAACAGUGGUUUUGCCAAGUACUCAAUCCACGUAAAAAGCCAUCAGAGAGAACAGGUUUAUUCUUGGAAAUGUUAUUCAUUUGUUGUUUUUCAAUUAAACUCUGUCUUGAUACAUGUUUAUUUUAGAUACCAAGAUUGACAGAAUAUAGAUGUCAACGAGGAGCAAAGUCAUAUAUAUUCAUAACUUAUGUGCUUUAAUUAUAAAGUCUAUACUUGUGAAUACUGUGUUCCGUUUAUGCUGUACUUAAACUUCUUAUAGUAAAAACAUUUGACGUUCUUGAAAUAACUGUUUUCAUCAUUUUUUUUCUUGUGCAUACUUAAUCCAUUAUCAAACCUACCAUUAACCCGAGCUAUAUAUGCUGUUCACCAUUGGUCUACCAUUCACUGUACUUUAUUGGCCUACUAUACAUUGUACACCUUUGGUCUACUGUCUAUCAUUCAGUGUAAACCAUUGGUCUACCAUUCACAGUACACUUGUGGUCUAUAAUGUAUGGCCAAUGGUGUAAAUUGAAUGGUUGACCAAUGGUAUAGAGUGUAUGGUAUGACAAUGGUGUACAGUGAACGGUAGGCCAAUGGUGUACGGUAAAUGGUAAGUCAAUGGUGUAUGGUAAGCCAAUGGUGUACGGUGAUUGGUAGGUCAAUGGUGUAUGGUAGGCCAAUGGUGAACUGUAAAUGGUAGGUCAAUGGUGUGCGGUGUAUGGUAGGCCAAUGGUGUACAAUGUAUGGUAGGUCAAUGGUGUAUGGUGAAUGGUAGGGCAAUGGUGAACGGUGUAUGGUGAAUGGUAGGUGAAUGGUGUACGGUGAAUGGUACGCGAAUGGUGUACGGUGAAUGGUAGGUGUACGGUGUAUGGUAGGCGAAUGGUUUAUGGUGAAUGGUACGCGAAUGGUGUACGGUGAAUGGUACGUGAAUGGUGUACGGUGAAUGGUAGGUGUACGGUGUAUGGUGAAUGGUGUAUGGUGAAUGGUACGCGAAUGGUGUACGGUGAAUGGUACGCGAAUGGUAUACGGUGAAUGGUAGGUCAACGGUGUAUGGUGAAUGGUAGGCGAAUGGUGUAUGGUGUAAGGUGAAUGGUAGACCAAUGGUGUCCAGUGAACGGUGGCUGAAUGGUAAAUGGUAGGCCAGUGAAUGGUGGCUGAACGGUGGUCAAUGGUAAACCUGUCUAUAGUGGCCAUGGUAGAUCAAUGGUGAAUGGUGUUUGAUCAAUGGUAUAUGAAUGGUAAAUGGUGCUCAUGAAUAUGGUAAUAGUAACGUCCCAAUUAUUUAAAUUAGUUUGAAUGGUAUACCAUUGGGGCUUGAAUGGUAUACCAUUGGUGUAUGAUGGGUGCUGUGCGAAUGGUAUUCCAAUGGUAUAUCAAUGGUGUUUCAAUGGUGUAUGGUGUAUGGUAUUUCAAUGGUAUACCAUUCAAUUUUUUUUAUAAGGGAAAGCUUAUCCAACGCUGUAGGUUCGGCCCCUAGUUGUGAAAAGUGAAGGGAACGAGUGCGGGAUUCACAAAUUCAUUGGCAUACUUGUUAAAAGGGCGCCUUGGAAAAUCCCCUUUUAUUGCAAUUCUGGAGCGUUGCAAGUUAAGGCGAUUAGUUGUGGAAAGUAUAAGGGAACAGGUAUGGAAUUCCUUGCACACAUUCUUGUCACGUUGUGUUGAACAAUACUCUGCCGGAAGAUUUGUUUGUUUUUUACCUCUCCAGGGACGUGGAGUCUGAAGUUAAUUGGCCAGGGCACAAAUGAUCAAGCCUAGACCCAGACUGAUGUACGAGGAGACUUAGCUAAGCUUGACCUGGACUGGUGUACGAAGGGACAGGGCUUAGACUUGGCUUACUAUGGUUCACAUUGGAUGACAGUGGUUGCAAAGGUUUUCACACUGCAAGAUGAGAAAUCCGGAUUUAUUUGAAGAUGCCGGAUUUAUGGUUUAACGUAAUGCUCUAAAUAGACGAGAGGUUGAGAAAUGCAGUGAUCAAGAUCCUUAAGUCCAGACUUGAAGAGGAAACAUGAAUAAUCUCGAAGUUGUUGAGAAGUAUAACCCUUUCGGAGAAAACUAAAAAACCUUGGAAAAAAGGGGCGUUAUGGGAACACCUUCAGUUCGUAUCUAUUUGCAAUUCUGGGCAGCCAGCAAAGUCGGUUGAAGCAUCGAUAACUAAGAAUAUAAACAAAAACUGUGAGGCAUGUCCCUCUGGUGCAUUUAUGUGCUUAUAUAUGUCUCUUCCUUUAAGACAUAACCUCACCUGUUGUAAGAGGCGAUCUCAUAUAUGAAGCCAACUUGAAUGUGGGAAUGCACGCCUUGAUUUUUAUGCCCCCAUUUAACUUUAUUAAUCGAUGUGGAAUGGAUAUUAUUUGUUUCGAUUCACACUGGUGACCAAAAACGAAAAAAAAAAAAAAAAAUCCCGGUUUUUAGCUUGAAGGAAGGCAUUCCUACAUAAACAUUACACAUGAGAAAAUCAUGCAAAAUUUCCUAAUGCAUGAACUGUUACCAGGGAUGAUGAAAUUCAAUGGUCUUAUUUAACGGUUAUGGAGGCCACAGUUUGUUCACUUGAAAAGAAAUACACAUUUAUCAAAUAGUUGUGGAGAUUGAUUUUGUAUGGCAUUUCAUCAAACAGUUGAGUUGUACAAUAAUGAUAGAAUUACUAGCAUGGUUUGGCUAUAUAAAUUUGAUAUAUUCUCUGGCCUCAAAUUAUUUCAUGUUAGAGUCACUUCGAUGACCCCCUAAUUGACAUUAAGUUGAAAUUAGUUGAAAGAAGGGUACUCCUUUUUAAGGUGUGCCAAGACAUUUGUUGAUUUGUUGUUUCACAUUUCCGCAAAAGUGGAUCCGAAGGUUUUCCAGAGUUUCUUCUCACCGAGUUUUAUCUCUGGUUUUUUACCCUGGACCUACUUGACGUGGAAUUGGUUUCAGUUCUCGUUGCAUGAGUUAUGUUUAGUGCAACGAGGGCUUAAACUUGCGAACAACAUUCACUCGCAGGGGGAAUGAAAUAAGCAAGGAUGCGAUGUUGUCAAGCUUGUUAAUGGUUUAGUCUUUCGAGUGAGAAUGGUUGGCCAAUGUCCAAUUGAUGUAGAGAUAUUUAUAACAACUUGGAGGUGUAGACGAAGAGUAUGGUAUAUGAUGCGUCCAUUCGUUGAUCGCAUGAGAUUGCUUUGUAUGGAAUAAUUUUUUGAUUGUUGACUAUCCAUUCCGAUGGCUGGCAUGGUUUAUUGAUCAUUAACUUAGUUGUUGUUGUCCUUGAUUAUUGAACUGGCUGGGUUGUCGAGCGUGAAAACUCACUUUUGAACUUAUGGCUUGGUUGGGCUUGGUUACAGAAUUACCGACUGAUUAUUAUCGGUAGCUUUGACAUCAGCUUUCCAGGGGAGGCAAUGGUUUGAUAAUUUAAAGUCGACGGCACCGAUGCUCGGCCCUCUAUUCUACCAUUUAGGGUCGCCGCCGAGGAGGCAGAAUAUGGGACCAAAUCCUACCUUAGUUAUGAUAUCGGGGGUGCUUUGGAAGAGUGGCCCUUAUUUUAUCGAGUAUUAUUAUACGAUAAAAUGCACAAAAUAGAAUUCUCAUACUAGUAUAAUGGCGACAUUAUUGAAGUACGAGUAUAAUUACAUGACAAAAGAAGAUGACGCUCAUAGUAUAUAUUUUGGUCCUAGUGCAGAGGACAAGGGAGAGAGAGCAUAAUUUAUGGGUUUCCGAAACCAUGAGUUGCAACCAGGAAACCAGACGCGAUGGUUUGGGAGGGAUGGCCUUGACAUGAAGGGACUCCCAAAAUCCAAUAGUGUUUGCCAAGUGUCACGGCAAAAAAAAAAAAAAAAAAAAAAAAAAAAAAAAAAAAAAAAAAAAAAAAAAAAAAAAAAGAUUAUUUGGGGCUUUCGCUUUUUUGUGGGUAUUUUUUCUUAUAUCGGUCAAAUUUCAACACCAGGGGGAGGCACUGUAUACUAAUUAUGUCAAGAAAAUCGGGACAGGGGAACCCAACUUUCCAAAGUCUCCUGGUUUGGAAGUCCGGCUGGAUGUCUUCCGGCAGGUUCCCCUUCCAAGAAUUCACGUUCUGGUCUUGAAGCCUCUCCCCCAAUUUUAUUUCACACAUGAGAUAAUCUUGUAUUGAAUAGAUGAUAAAUGUAAAGAGGGGAAUCCGCACCCCAGGAAAUACCUGUCCUGGGAUCCCGUUGGAUCUCUUCCUUCUGGGAGGUCACGUGACCCGGUUUCCCCCUUAAAAUCUGGUUGAUUGUGGCUUGAUGAAUAUUGUUUAGAAACUGUGUACUUGUUAAAAUAUUGUAAAUGUCGUUUUAAUGAUUCUGGUAAAAUCCCCCAGAGGCAAUAAAGUUGAGAAACGGCAAUUUCAUGUUCGAUCUGUAUUUAUUCUCGCAAUAAGAUUAUUCGAAUAAGCGAAGAAGAUAGUUUGCGAGAGAAGACAGGUCUUCUCAAAAAACCAAUUAUUGGCAAGCCAUACACGGCCCGCGAAAACAAAGCGCGCCCCUGCGAUUCCGCGGGAAUUCUCCAAGGACACGCCCCCAGCAACAUGUCUGUGAUUGGCUGGGCAUGUCAUGGAUGGCGCCGUUACACAGCGCCCUUGGUGACAGCCAGGCAACGGCAACGGGGGCACAGCCUCUACGCUAAAAAGAACCAAUGAAAUGCAUUGAAAUAAUUCAGGGACGUGCGCAAUACGCGACAGAUUUGGAAGCACAUGUUCAUUCUCAACUAAGCUCUGGGGGAUGCAAGACGUUAAUUUGCCCUCCCUCCCGCCCAUUUAAUAAUGGUUGUGAGUGGUUGGUUAUAAUAUUGUCAGGGUCGGAGGGUAUUGUUUCUGCCUCCAAAAAUGUGGUGCACAUGUUAUGAAAAAAGAUUGGAUGAUAUAAUACAUGGUUGUUAAUAAUUCUGUCGUGAUUUUUGUUUAUACUCAAAUCUGUCAAAGGCGAUUGUGCUAAUUAAUCUAAAUGUGGUAAUAGUGAAUUUUAAAGACGGGGCUCGAGAUUGCUCAAUGAGCCUGUUUAAGUGCAAGUUGUGCCGGUUACAGUUGAUUGAAAUAACCUUAUAUUUUGGUUGGUUAUACUGUUGAUAGAUAACAUGGAUUUAUUUUGGUUGGUUGGCUGGGCAUGUGUUUGGAUAGAAUUGCAUUGGUUGCAUAGGCUUGUAUUAGUUGACUGGAUGGGCUUGAUUGGCUUGUUGGUCGGAUAGACUUGCAUUGGUUGGUUGGGCGAUAUGUUUGGUUGUUUAUUAUCAUAAGGAUCCACGCUCUACAAGCAAGGCUUUUAGUGGAUCCCCUCAUUUCCAAACAAGUUCUUGUUAAUACAAUUGCCCAAAUUUUCAUAAUUUGUCUAUAGUUGAUUUGUAAUUACAAUUGUUGUGUAUUUGUGUUUAUGCAUUUAGUGCAUAUUUGAUUUGUACCGUGAUUUUUUAUGAUGUACAUGACGGAAGUUCAAAAUGAACUCGUUUUUAUUCGGUUGGAUGUGCUUGCGCUGGUUGGGUGGUUGGGCUUGCUAUGAUUGGUUGGUUGGUUAUAAUGAUCAUAGGGAUUCACGCUCUCCAAGUAGUUAUUUUAGUGGAUCCCCUCAUUUCCAACCAAGCUAUUAAUACUUUUGUACAAAUUUUAAAAUUUUGUCUGUAGUGGACCGGCAAUUACAAUUUAUAUGUAUUUGCAAAUGGUUUAUGCGCACUAUGAUGCAUAUUUAAUUCGUGUUUGUAUUUGGUAAUGAUGUACAAGAUGAACUGAAAUUUGUUUGGUGGCUUUAUAUGGUUGGUUGGCUGGGCUUGUUCUGGUUGACUACAAUUGCACAAAUUUUCAUAAUUUGCAGUUGAUUUGGAAUUAUAAUUGAUGUGUAAUUGUGUUAAUGCAUUUGAUGCAUAUUGAUUGGUACCGUAAUUUUUUGUGAUGUACAUGACGGAAGUUCAAAAGGAACUUGUUUUGUUUGGUUGGAUGGGCUAACAUUGGUUGGAUGUUUGGGCUUGUUAUGAUUAGUUGAUUGGUUAUGAUCAUAUCGAUCCACGCUCUAUCAGCAGAUCCUUUAGAAAGAUCCCCUCAGUUUCAACCAAGCUGAUAAUAUUAUUGUACAAAUAUUGAAAUUGUGUCCGUAGUUGACUUGUAAUUACAAUUGAUAUGUAUUCAUUGUUUAUGCAUCAUAUCAUUUAUAAUUGAUUUAUGUUUGUAUGUGGUAAUGAUGUACAAGGUGAACUUAAACUCGUUUGGCUAGUUAGAUUGGCUUUACAUGGUUGGAUGGGCUUGUUAUGGUUGGUUGGUCGGGCUUGUUAUGGUUGGUUGGUCGGGCUUGAUAUGGUUGGUUGGAUGGGCUUGUUUUGGCUGGUAGGAUGGGCUUGUUUUGGUGUUUGGCCUGAUUACUGAGUAUUUUUUCUUAUAUCGGUCAAAUUUCAACACCAGGGGGAGGCACUGUAUACUAAUUAUGUCAAGAAAAUCGGGACAGGGGAACCCAACUUUCCAAAGUCUCCUGGUUUGGAAGUCCGGCUGGAUGUCUUCCGGCAGGUUCCCCUUCCAAGAAUUCACGUUCUGGUCUUGAAGCCUCUCCCCCAAUUUUAUUUCACACAUGAGAUAAUCUUGUAUUGAAUAGAUGAUAAAUGUAAAGAGGGGAAUCCGCACCCCAGGAAAUACCUGUCCUGGGAUCCCGUUGGAUCUCUUCCUUCUGGGAGGUCACGUGACCCGGUUUCCCCCUUAAAAUCUGGUUGAUUGUGGCUUGAUGAAUAUUGUUUAGAAACUGUGUACUUGUUAAAAUAUUGUAAAUGUCGUUUUAAUGAUUCUGGUAAAAUCCCCCAGAGGCAAUAAAGUUGAGAAACGGCAAUUUCA